UCAGGUCGUUCUGUGGCAAAUGAUAUUAUUGUCACUCAGGACUCCGUUAAUGCCACUGUUGGGGAUUCCGUCCUUCUCCAAACCUCUUACAAAAUUUCACAAAACAUGUACAACUGGCCAUCUCUUCAGUGGACGUUUGGAAACAGAGUUAUUGUGUAUUACUCUUUGCAAAAUGGUUCAAUAGACCCUGAAGGAACGCCAUUAUUAACUCGUGGAAAAAUACAAAUAUUCCCAUUGUAUGAACACCGUGUAACGCUUUAUCCUGACAAUGGUUCGUUAUUAUUGAUGAAUCUCCACCUGCAGGACAGUGGCUGUUAUAACAUAUAUUUACUAAGUUUUGAAUCAAUAAUUAAUAAGACCACCUGUCUGCAUGUAGAUGAUCCGUCUUUAUUGUCUGGUACGUAUAGAUUAAUAUGACUUCCAAAUAGCUGGGUAUAAUUGUUUGAUAAACAAGAUGUUCAGUGGCACAAAGGCUUUAAAGGGAAAAUGUUGUGUAAAAAAACCCUCUGUCAGGGUGGAUUUGAUUUACAUCAAAGGAAGAGAAUAUUCUUUUUACACCAACAGAAGAAGCCACUGCUGUUAAAAGUGAAAUCAUAAUUUCAACCAUUUCUGAAUCCAAGUACUUAAAGAGAUACCAUAGUGCCAGGAAUACAAAGCUGUUAAAGGGUUAAAAACCCUUUAUUUACUUACCUGAUCCCAGCGCCAAUGUCCCUCAGAGCUGGGUGGAAGCUCCCCCAUCUCUUCCGUCCUGUGACAAGCGGGCUCUAACGCUCGUGCGCAGCAAAUGCCGCACAAGCAUUAGACCUCCCUAUAGGAAAGCAUUGAAUCAGUGCGUGAGGACGUCCAGCAUCUGAUACCAGACCAAAGUUUUGUUUCAAACCAGGGAGCCCUCUAGUGGCUGUCUAGUAGACCGCUCCUAUGGGCAGACUUAGUGCUGUAAUGUAAACAUUGCAGUUUCUCUGGACACUGCACCCAGACCACUUCAAUGAGCUGAAGUGGUCUGGGUGCCUACAGUUUCCCUUUAAGUGACUUCCACUAGUUCACUGGCGUCACGUUCUUUAAAACAUCAACAGUGAACAUUUGUUUCUUGAAUGGUUCCACCUUCGCUCUGAAGUUUAUUAUAGUUGUCAGUAGAGAUGGAUGAUUACUGAAUACUAAUGUCGUGGCUAAAUCAUCUUCUUCAGCACUUAAAGCACAUUAACCUCAGUUUAUAAAAGUGCCAAUUUUAAUCCAAUCAGCCCUCUGAUUUAAAUGCAUUUUAUUUACAAUAAAAAUAUUCUCCUUCAGAAUUCUGUAACUGCACAUCUGAGAAAGGCAGACCGCAGAGAAUCAGAAGUAUUUCCUUCUGAUUUCUGAGGUCUGAUUUUAUCAUAUCAACUCCUAUCCAUUCGCUAUUUAUGGAAUAAGACAUUUGUCCUCCAGCCACAGGUGCACUUAUCACGUAAGAUGCUCAAUAAACUGAUAAGACAUGCCUUGGCUGAUAUCCGUUUACUUGCAGUCCGAUGUAGUUUUGUGAUCUGUAAUGUGUGAGGUUGUUUUUUCUUGCCAUGCCAAUGAUUCCCAACCCGGUACUCAAGAUAAAAGUGCAUGAUUUUGACAUUUCGGCUCAUGUGGCGAUAAUGAUGAAACCUAGACUGUUGGUGUGCUUCUGUAUUGUUCUGAAACUACUACUCUAUGGCAUACACUUUGCUAUCAACAUUUCCAUUACAGAAAUAUUGGAGCAAUUAAACUUUUUAAAACAUGUAUAGUGUCCUUUAUCUUGCAAUAUUUCACAGAGGGUCCAAAAUAUUCGUAUAAAAGCAAGAAUACAAUUUUCUCACAAAAAUAGAUAAAUAAAAAUAGCCUGCUUAUAUUAUUAUAUUAUUUGUAAGGACUCUGAGGGCAUUACUGAAAAUGCCAACAGAAUGUUAAAAUAAUGUCUGUAUAUGAACAUAAUGCCCAAAUCUGGAAGUAAAAUAUAAUCAUAUACUUCUAAAAUAAAGGUUUUUAUAGCGUUAUAGCAAUCUCUCUAAUGCUAAUGGGAUGGUAAGACGCAUAUAAUAGAUACCAGCAGGGGUCAAGUCCUGGGGAAAAAAGUGUGGGAACUCACCCAAGAUUCCCGCCUCCCC